rnacentral:lncRNA from 1 species
UGGAGACAAUGUCUUGUUUCUUGCUUUUCCAGGAAAUAAGAGAAGGGCCAAGAAACAUACACCAGCCAGUGGUAGAACGUCGAGUAUCACUACAUUCGGCAUAAUCAGCAUCACUAUACUCGACAAGAUCAAGUGAGGUACCUGUAGGGUAAAAAAGUUCCCGCAAGGAUGUACCUUGAACAUAUUUGAUGAUUCUUCGAACUGCGGCCAUAUGGAGAUGUCGAGGAGAAUCCAUGUACCGACAAACCUGCUGGACUGCAUAAGAGAUAUCGGGCCUAGUGAUUGUCAGAUAUACCAAGUUGCCAACAAGAGUGCGAUAGGUUGUGGGGUCUAAUAACAGGUCACCCUCAUCUUUGCGUAGCUUGAGAUUAAUUUUCAUGGGAGUUUCAAGAGGUGUAGAGUGCUGGAGACCAGCAGCAGCCACCAAGUCUUUGGCAUACUUAUGUUGUGACAGAAAAGUACCACGUGAAUCAGCAAUAAUUUCUAGACCAAGAAAAUAUGUGAGAGAGCCGAGAUCCUUGAUGUGAAAUGAGUCCUUUAAAUGCUGUUUUGAUUGGGAAAUCAGAACUGAAUCUGUACUCGUGAUAAUUAUAUCGUCCACAUACACUAAGAUAACCAUAAUACCAGACUUAGUUUUGCGAAGAAAUAAAGAUGCAUCAUACUUGCUUUUGAGAAAAGCAAGUUUGAGUAGAGUAGAGACAAAUUUCUCAUAUCAAGCACGGGGGGCUUGCUUAAGACCGUACAAAGAUCGACGUAACUUGCACACAGCAGAAGUAGGAGCGGAAAGUAAGCCAGCUAGAGGACGCAUAUAAACAUCUUCCUUGAGAUCUCUGUGAAGAAAUGCAUUCUUCACAUCCAUUUGAUGUAAACCCCAAUUUUGAGAAGCAGCAAUAGCCAAUAUAGUGCGGAUAGUGGUCAUUUUAGCUAUCGGAGCCAAAGUCUCAUCAUAAUUCACACCAUAUUCUUGAUUAUUUCCAAGAGCUACUAAGCGGGCCUUAUAUCUGUCCAAACUACCAUCAGAUUUAACCUUAAUAGAAUAGACCCACUUACAACCAAGUGGAGUCACACCUGCUGGACAAUCUACCAAUUCCCAAGUCUUAUUAGCUUCAAGAGCACAUAGUUUCUCCUUCAUGGCCUGCUGCCAACAUUUUUCUUUAACUGCUUGUGAGUAACCGGUAGGAAUAACAAUAGAGGAUAUAGUGGCCGAGAGUGCAGAAUUGUAGGUACAUACCAUAAGUGACUCAAAUCCAUAACAGUCAGGAGGACCAGAAACUCUAGAGGAGCGGCGCAAGGGAGCAGAUGGUAAGGCAGGAGCAGAAGGGGGCAGCACUUGAAGUCUUCGCUCAUAGACCAUACCAGGCUUAUUCCUUUCAACCUGAUUAUUAGGAGCACUAGAGGUGUCAUCAAAAGAAGGUAAGAGAGAAAGAGAAGGAUUCUUUGAUGAAGACAUAGGAAAGAACCAUUGAUUUUCACAAAAGAGCACAUUUCGUGAAACAGAACCUUAUUAGAGUUUGGAUCAUAGCAUAAAUACCCUUUUUAUGUGACACUAUAUACUAAGAACGCACAACGUACGGACUGAGUAGAAAGCUUGUUCCUGUCUGGUGAAGGAAGAUGCAUAAAACACAAAAACCCAAAAGUGUGUAGAUUUGAGUAGGUAGGAUUGCGAUGAUGAAGUUUGAAAUAUGGAGACUGAAAAUUUAGAACUUGGGAAGGGAGUCUAUUGAUAAGAAAAGUUGUUGUAGCAAGUGCUUCUACCUAAAACUUUGGAGGAACAUAAGACUCAAUGAGCAAGGUCCUUAUAAGAAAAGUUGUUGUAGCAAGUGCUUCUACCUAAAACUUUGGAGGAACAUAAGACUCAAUGAGCAAGGUCCUUACAACAUCUAAAAGAUGGCGAUUUUUUCUUUCGGCAAGUCCAUUUUGUUGUGGAGUGUAUGGACAAGAGCGUUGAGAGAU